rnacentral:RNase_P_RNA from 1 species
AAAUAAACCGCCGCGCAAGCGGUAAGGAUGGAAAGGCGAGGUAAGAGCUCACCGAUCCUGCGGUGACGUGGGAUGCCAUGUAAACCCUAUCCGAAGCAACGCCUUUGGGCGGCACACCUCGGUGUGCCUGCGGUUCCCCGCCAAAGUCCCGAUGGCGGCAGGAGGAAACUCCGAGCCUUGCGGUAACGCAGGGCAAAGAUAGAUGGUCGCGACCCGGAAACGGGUACAGAACCCGGCUUACAAGCACAGUUGUAAG